rnacentral:misc_RNA from 1 species
UACGUAGGUGGCGAACGUUAUCCGGAAUUACUGGGCGUAAAGGGUCCGCAGGCGGGCGGUCAAGUCUGGCGUGAAAGCUCCCGGCUCAACUGGGAGAAGACGUUGGAAACUGGCCGUCUUGAAUCCCACAGAGGUCGGUGGAAUUCCCGGUGUAGUGGUGGAAUGCGUAGAGAUCGGGAGGAACCUCGAAAGCGAAGGCAGCCGGCUGGGUGGAGAUUGACGCUGAGGGACGAAAGCGUGGGGAGCGAACAGG